rnacentral:rRNA from 1 species
GACGAACGCUGGCGGCGUGCCUAAUACAUGCAAGUAGAACGCACAGUUUAUACCGUAGCUUGCUACACCAUAGACUGUGAGUUGCGAACGGGUGAGUAACGCGUAGGUAACCUGCCUGGUAGCGGGGGAUAACUAUUGGAAACGAUAGCUAAUACCGCAUAAUAUUGAUUAUUGCAUGAUAAUUGAUUGAAAGAUGCUAUUGCAUCACUACCAGAUGGACCUGCGUUGUAUUAGCUAGUAGGUGAGGUAACGGCUCACCUAGGCGACGAUACAUAACCGACCUGAGAGGGUGAUCGGCCACACUGGGACUGAGACACGGCCCAGACUCCUACGGGAGGCAGCAGUAGGGAAUCUUCGGCAAUGGACGAAAGUCUGACCGAGCAACGCCGCGUGAGUGAAGAAGGUUUUCGGAUCGUAAAGCUCUGUUGUAAGAGAAGAACGGGUGUGAGAGUGGAAAGUUCACACUGUGACGGUAUCUUACCAGAAAGGGACGGCUAACUACGUG